CUCUCGGCUUGUCGUCGAUCGAUUUCUGCGGCCUAUAUCUGUUUCACUUUGCAGACGCCGCUGGCCUCUGGUAUCGAUUCGUAUUAGGGUUCAGUCAUGCUGUGUAGCGGCGCUCACCUUGCACUUCCCGGUCUACAGCGUUGACCUCGUCGAGGCUCUGAGUCUCCGCCAGCUUCUCAUUGACCUCCAUGAUCUUUAACAGCAAGGACGGAUCUGCUGUAGAGUCCGUGCCUUCCUCCAGCUCGACUCCUCGCAACUGCAGCUGCGAUUAAUCGUCAUCAUCGACACCAGUUAACGUUUUUCUACCACGGAACGACUAAUACCACGGCGGCGCUGUUCAAUUCUCAAAUCCGGUUGGGUCGGAAAGCGCCGAUUCGUUUUCUAUAACGGCGGCGAACUUUAUACGGAUCACCGACGGGAACAGCUCGUUCAGCUCGUCGUACGGCGUCGUAUAACGUCUAGGACCAAUGGUAAACGGAUUAACAAAGAAAACGGUAUAAUCGAUGACAUGGUGACGUUUUCUGUGAGGAGACGUUGACUCGACGUUUAUGGAAGGAGUCUCCAGUGUCAGAGUGAACGUAAAGUGUUUCCGGAAGGAUGACGCUGUCGGUGAGGGGGG